CCUCUCCUUCCCUGACACCAGCGAGAAGCUCGGUGACACACACUUUCCUGCUUAGAAGCAGGCUGUUCACCGCUGGCUUUUAUUUAUUUAAUAGCCCUCUUUCACAACAGUGCUCUACAGCUUUUAGUUGAAGAUGCAGGGUGGAAACUCGAGGCGUGGUUUACAGAGCUGAGGGGCAGAGCCGUGGGUCGGCCGCGGGCCCCUGCCCCGGGCUGGCAGACGCCUUGGCGCCGGGGCCUGCGAGGGCCGCGGGCAAGGCACGGGGCCCGGCUUUUCAGUGCCUGGCUCCCCACAGAAUGCUGCACCACACUGCACCACACUGAUGGGCUGUACAGUCCCUCCAGCAGCUGAGGUGUUCCCAAAAGGGGUGCAGUGCUUCUUGACGGGUUUCACGAGACCAGCCCAGCUGCCUAUUUUUUCCAGUUUUCAGUGAUCACUUAACACUUGACUUCAGUGAUACCGGAAAUUAGGUGGAAAAGGAAACCCAAAGACGAUAAAACUGACAAGUCUGCAUCCAUUUAAAUCUCUUCAAUAUCCAGACUGAGCGCUUGGAUUUAAGCAGAGUCACUGAAGAUUUACAGUGGCAGGCAGACAAGAACUCCAGGACUGAGUUAGGAACACAUGUGAACAACCUCAAAGCAAGUUUAAAGAAAAGUGAACUUGUGCCCACUGUUUAUUUCAGUGUAAACACAUAAAGCUAUCUUGAAAUACAGUCUGUGAAUCAGGCAGUAAAUUUGACCAAAAGAAGGGUUCUCAGCUGGCUCACUGAGGGAAUAUAGCGGACUAAGGUCCAGUGAUCAGCUCCUAGUUGAGUGUCAAACGAGGCUGGAGUAAGGGAGAAUGUUGCCAUGAUUCUGAGAAUUUAUGUGUUGUAAGGACAGCUACAAAAAAUUCAAACAACCUAGUGUAUUACAGCUGCUCUGAUUCUUACACUUCUGUUUGAUUUCAAACACAGAGAAUGACUCUGAAAUCACAUCUGUAUAAAAUAUUUCAUGUGCAACAGGAAAAAAGAUACAGCUGCUGUAUUAUACCUCUGUAUAAUA